rnacentral:rRNA from 1 species
UAAUAGAGAAUGGGCGCAGCCUGAUCCAGCCAUGCCGCGUGAGUGAAGAAGGCCUUCGGGUUGUAAAGCUCUUUCGGCCGGGAAGAAAUCGUGUUCUCUAACAUAGGACAUGGAUGACGGUACCGGACUAAGAAGCACCGGCUAACUACGUGCCAGCAGCCGCGGUAAUAA